rnacentral:tRNA from 1 species
GGGCAUAUGGUGUAGCUGGUUAUCACGCCCGCUUAGCAUCUUCUGAUCAUCUGCGGGCGGUCUCCGGUUCGAGUCCGGAUUUGUCCA